AAACAGUUUCCUUCUCUCUUAGGAGGUCCACGUCGCCAUCCACGUCAUCAAUUCAGAUGCUGUCGUGCCGACACCUGUCCCAUGAGGUCGAAACUCAGCGUAUCAUUUAAUCAAGUGUCUGGAUAUUUUAUGGGCUUCAUCUUAAUUUGGGCUUUGUUAUUGAAAUUUAACGUUGGCCCGGUUACGUUCUUAGGGUUCUUAUCGUUCUUCGAUCUCUGCCAUACGGAGAGACAUAUCUGCUUCUGUGGCUUCACGGAUUCUGUUCCUGUGUUUGGAUCACGUCCUUUAGCCUUCUUUCGAUCACUCGAAACAAAACUACUUCCAGAUCAAUCGCAUUAAACAUGUUUUUAAUUCCUUUGGCCACGAUCUACACUUUAAUGUGUGUUGAUCUUCGGUGUUUCUACUGGUAUAAAAAGAUAUGCUUUCUUCCUCUCAAAACCAUUCUCUCUCUUUUUCAUCUCUCUUUGCGAUUUCUCUGAGAUUCCAAGUUCCCGUUGUUAUUGUUCAGAAUUGCUACUGUUUAUGUAUCUGACCGGAGCUAGAUACGGCGGUGUUGGGCUAUUCCAGAAAGCAACAGGACUUGAAUCGCUUCAUCUCAACGGCUGCAGUUUCAGCAACCGUAAAAACAACAAAGAAAGCUUAUUUCCUUCAAAUGGCUAGCUCCUCUGAUCUGAAGUAGGUUCAUGUUCUUCCACCGUUGAGGUUAAGUUGCCGCGUUUAGCUCUAACUGGAAGUUCGCCGUAUGUCUCUCUUUGGUAACGGAGCUUACGUAUUCCUCUAAGGGAUCCCAAUCUCAAUCACCACCACACCGUUGUUCAUGAAGGAAUUGGAUUCCCUUGCUGGGUUCUUCCAGAUCUUAUGUCUUUUCCUGAGUGAUUCAGACAAGAUGCUUACGACAAGCUUGAUGUGAUUGGUAUUGACGAAACAGAGAACUGGAGAUCUUUAUGAGUUUUGCUGCAAAGACGCUGAUGAUGAUGGCAACACUGUUAUUGUUGCAGUCGUUGAUAGUGAUUAUUUAAGGAGGAGUUGGUGAUGUUCUUGAUAUUGUACCAAUAGAUGAUUCUGUCACAAAGCUAACUGCAAGGUGUGAGGUUUGUGGACACAAAGGUUUCUUCACUGUGAGGAAGACUUGUGACACCAGAACCGAGUUCAUUCGGUGGGAUAAUAAUCAAAUUGUCAUCAAAGCUUCAAAGUAAGUUUUGGAUUCUGACGUAAGAGCUGACACCUGUAUGGAGACAGUUGCUACUAUGAUCUAACUAUGACUUGCUGUGGAACGAGCUAAGCAUAUAUUAUAGUGAGAUUCUGUUCUUUGAAAGUGCCGUGUUGGUUUGUUAUUUUUUAGUCUUACAAGUUUUUUUUUUUGUAAAAGGCUUUCAUUUUUUUUAAUAGUAUAUUAUCUUUAGCAAAAAAAAGGGUAUGAUUAUGAUACUAAUCUUGAUUGCAACAUUAAAAAAAAUUUAAGAAAAUAUAAAAAAUAAAAGUUAUAACACAAGCUUGAUAAAACAUAUACAUAAGCGCGCUAAGUUUUGAGAGAGAGUGAAAUGUUACUAAAACAUAUCUUAUGCUUUUUGUUCUGAGAAAAAAAAAAUCGAAAUAACUAUCUGAAUAGGAACAAAAAAUUUGAUAAAGGUGGGUUGGAUUGAAGACGUUAAGUAGUGACUAACUAAGGAAAAUAAUAAUAUUAU